ACUCUUUAGGGAGGCAAUGGCGCUCCGAACCUCUGCCAUCUUUACUUUCGUUAAGAUGUAGAAAUAUUCAAGGAGGCUCUGGGAUCACGCAGACUAACUUAUACCAUGAGGUUUUAUUAACAACUUUCAGAUACGUUACAUCAGUGCUCACUCUUCAGCGGCAGCAUACACACUGAACUUUCUAGAGCAUAAAACAUUGCUGACGAAUGCUAUAGCCAAUAAGAACAAACAAUGCAAUAUUUCUGGAAUGCGAUUGGUUCUUAGCAGAACGUAAGAAUACUACAUCCCCCUUCUUUUGAAAUAAAACAAUGCAAGGAAAUUAUUGCAAAACCCCAUUAUAUGAAAUAAACAUAUAGCUUACAAGAGUCACAUGCACAAACUAAAUCACAUGUAUUAUUAUAGCAAAGUACUGGUAUACUGUAGGUGUUCAUAUAUUAUUGGAUUGUCACAAGACAAAACACAAACUGCAUUGAACAUUAUGAACAAUAUUUUUUUUUUCUAAGGGCAGCGAUCCGCCUACACCCUUGUACAAUCACAGAUCCAGAAUAACUCUGGGUUUAAUCUGGCGUCCGUACCUGGAUCUGUACAUGACGGAUUUGGGCAGAUCAUCAGUGUGGUCAGGUGUGUGUGUAAUGUCACUGUGUGGUGCACUGUUGAUUGGUGUUUCCCAUAGCUCAGCACCAUCAUGACCUAAAGAGAUGUCAGAACUGUCCUGAGGUUCCUUUGUGUCCAGGAGGUGGCGUCUGUUUCGCCGAUAUUCCCGUCCAUCAGAGGAGUUGCUGAUUGGUGUUUGGUAGGGUUGACCGCAGACGGCGACUCAUCAACAGCUGAGCUGGGGACUUGAAACCAUCAACAGGGCUAUUGCGAUACUCCAGGAGACUGAGGUUCUGGCAAACGUCGCAAACUCACCCGAGCUGUACUGGGGGCCGUUGUCUGAGAUGACAGCCUCUGGAAUGCCAUGUCGGGCAAAAGCAGCUUUUAGUUUAUCUAUCACAGCAGUUGAGGUGGUGCUGCUGAGCUUGUCCAGCUCAAAAUAUCUGCUGUAGUAGUCUACUGUCACAAGAUAAUCCUCAUUGCUCCAGGCCAGAACAUGAUGUCACGGGCUCUCUGCUUGGUUUUCUCUAUGCCUAAGUGACUGGGAUGUACACAUGACAGCAUGUCUGAACGAAGACUUGUGGGAACGACAAUUUUUUCACCUUUGAAGAUGAUUCCAUGCAGGUCACAUUUGCCUUUUACCGCCAGGCGUUCACCACCAUAGCCAAACAAUGGGCGAGAUGUCGGCUGCAGAUUGCACUGAGUGUUCAGCUUGUCAUACUCGUACAGGGGAAUGACGUUGGCAGAUGAUCCAGUGUCUAGCUUAAACUUAACUUCAAGUUGUCUUGGACCUACUUUAAUAUACACAAAAGCUUGCUCUGCGUCUGAACUCUGUCUGCCCUGUGUCACUGAAUCAAUAAACAGCUCUUCAUCAUACUCAUCAACUUGGUCUGAGUUUUCUUCACUUAUUACAUGGACAGUUUUCUCACAGCUUGAGCGACAGACUUUUGCAAAGUGUUUUAAUUUACCACAUAUUUUGCACACUUUUCCUUUUGCAGGACAGUGAGAUCGAUCAGUGUGAGGUUUGUUUCCACAGUAUCCGCAUCCUUUGUGGUGUACUGGGGUAGCAUUUCUAUGUUGCAAAUUGUCGCUGUAUUUCUUUGUGUAUUUAGCGUUGCGUUGCUUUGGAACGGCACCCUUUGAUGUGUUGCGGAAGACUGCGUGCACUGAAUGGUCACGUGAAGCACUCAUGCUGUUUGAGAUUGUUUUUAGCUGUGCUUGCGCCAACUCAUGAGAUCUAGCGACAUCUAUUGCUUUUUCGAGCGUUAACUCGGAGCCUACAUUCAAAAGCUUCUCUCUCACUUUCGGUGAAUGUAUUCAGAACACGAUGCGAUCGCGGAUCAUCUUGUCACUGUUUGCAUAAUUACAGUCCUUCACAAGCAGACGCAGGUCUGUCACAAACUGCUCAAAGGGCUCGCGGUCUCCCUGUAUUUUUUCAUGGAAUUUAUAACGUGCAAAUAUCACGUUCGCUUUAGGUUCAACGUAUGCCGUGAAACGGUCGUAAUAUGACUUUAUGAUCUUUGCUUCGUCUUCGGACAGUGACCAAGUAUUAAAAAUAUCACGGCCCUUUUCUCCGACCCAUAGGAGAAGAUAACUACAUCUCUCUUCCUCACCCUUUCUCUUCAGGGGUCCGCUGAACAUCAGCUCCGCGUGCUGUUGAAACUUGCGCCAUGCUUCUGGCAGGUUAGUUGCAUCCCAGUUCAUCGUGGGCAUUGGAACUCCAGCGAUAUCCAUCCUUGUUUGUCUGAUCCGUUCACUCUGACACCAUGUUGUACUUUCGUUAAGAUGUAGAAAUAUUCAAGGAGGCUCUGGGAUCACGCAGACUAACUUAUACCAUGAGGUUUUAUUAACAACUUUCAGAUACGUUACAUCAGUGCUCACUCUUCAGCGGCAGCAUACACACUGAACUUUCUAGAGCAUAAAACAUUGCUGACGAAUGCUAUAGCCAAUAAGA